rnacentral:rRNA from 1 species
UACGUAGGGGGCAAGCGUUGUCCGGAUUUAUUGGGCGUAAAGAGCGUGUAGGCGGCCUGAAAGGUCAGCUGUGAAAACUCGAGGCUCAACCUCGAGACGUCGGUUGAAACCAUCUGGCUAGAGUCCGGAAGAGGAGUGUGGAAUUCCCGGUGUAGCGGUGAAAUGCGCAGAUAUCGGGAAGAACACCCGUGGCGAAGGCGGCACUCUGGGCAUUACCUGACGCUGAGGAGCGAAAGUGUGGGGAGCGAACAGG